rnacentral:rRNA from 1 species
UACGUAGGGUGCGAGCAUUAAUCGGAAUUACUGGGCGUAAAGCGUGCGCAGGCGGUUCUGCAAGUCAGCUGGGAAAGCCCCGGGCUUAACCUGGGAAUUGCGGUUGAAACUACAGGGCUAGAAUCUGGAAGAGGCUCGCGGAAUUCCCAGUGUAGAGGUGAAAUUCGUAGAUAUUGGGAAGAACACCGGUGGCGAAGGCGGCGAGCUGGUCCAUUACUGACGCUGAGGCGCGACAGCGUGGGGAGCAAACAGG